rnacentral:sRNA from 1 species
GCCAGGUGCUGUGGCGUACACCUGUAAUCCCAGCAGCUGCAGAGGCUGAGGCAGGAGGAUCAUGAGUUCAAAGCCAGCCUCAGCAAUGGUGAGGCACUAAGCAACUCAAUGAGACCCUGUCUCUA